rnacentral:rRNA from 1 species
UACGUAGGUGGCAAGCGUUAUCCGGAUUUACUGGGUGUAAAGGGCGUGUAGGCGGGACUGCAAGUCAGAUGUGAAAAUUAUGGGCUCAACCCAUAACCUGCAUUUGAAACUGUAGUUCUUGAGUGAUGGAGAGGCAGGCGGAAUUCCGUGUGUAGCGGUGAAAUGCGUAGAUAUAUGGAAGAACACCAGUGGCGAAAGCGGCUCUCUGGUCUGUAACUGACGCUGAGGUUCGAAAGCGUGGGUAGCAAACAGG